GACGAACGCUGGCGGCGUGCUUAACACAUGCAAGUCGAACGGAAAGGCCCUGCUUUUGUGGGGUGCUCGAGUGGCGAACGGGUGAGUAACACGUGAGUAACCUGCCCUUGACUUUGGGAUAACUUCAGGAAACUGGGGCUAAUACCGGAGAGGAGCUCCUGCUGCAUGGGGGGGGUUGGAAAGUUUCGGCGGUUGUGGAUGGACUCGCGGCUUAUCAGCUUGUUGGUGGGGUAGUGGCUUACCAGGGCUUUGACGGGUAGCCGGCCUGGGAGGGUGACCGGCCACAAUGGGACUGAGAUACGGACCAGACUCGUACGGGACGCAGUAGUCGGGAAUAUUGCACAAUGGGCGGAAGCGUGAUGCAGCGGCGCCGCGAGCGGGAUGAUGGCCUUCGGGUUGUAAACCGCUUUCGCCGGAGACGAAGCGUGAGUGACGGUAAUGGGUAAAGAAGCACCGGCUAACUACGUG
rnacentral:rRNA from 1 species